GAUGAACGCUGGCGGCGUGCCUAAUACAUGCAAGUCGAGCGAACGGACGAGAAGCUUGCUUCUCUGAUGUUAGCGGCGGACGGGUGAGUAACACGUGGAUAACCUACCUAUAAGACUGGGAUAACUUCGGGAAACCGGAGCUAAUACCGGAUAAUAUUUUGAACCGCAUGGUUCAAAAGUGAAAGACGGUCUUGCUGUCACUUAUAGAUGGAUCCGCGCUGCAUUAGCUAGUUGGUAAGGUAACGGCUUACCAAGGCAACGAUGCAUAGCCGACCUGAGAGGGAGAUGCGCCACACUGGAACAGAGACACGCUACAGACACCUACGGGAAGCAGCAGUAGGGAAUGUUCCGCGAUGGGCGAAAGACUGAAAGAGCAACUCCGCGUGAGUGAUGAAAGUCUUAAGAUCGUAAAACUCUGUUAUUAGUGAAGAACAUAUGUGCAAGUAACUGUGCACAUCCUGACGGUACCUAAUCAGAAAGCCACGGCUGACUACGU
rnacentral:rRNA from 1 species